rnacentral:snRNA from 1 species
GUGCUCAUUUUGGCAGCACAUAUACUAAAAUUUGAAUGAUACAAAGAAGAUUAGCAUGUCAUCUGCACAACAACACUAUUUAAAAAAUAUUCUUAACCUUU